AAGAUUCCACUGGCUCAGGAUGAACGCUAGCGGCCGGCUUAAUACCAUGCAAGUCGAGGGGCAGCACGAAUAGCAAUAUUUGGUGGCGACCGGCGCACGGGUGCGUAACACGUAUACAACCUACCUAUAACAGGGGGAUAGCCUUUCGAAAGAGAGAUUAAUACCCCCGUAAUAAAUUGAAACGGCAUCGUUUGAUUUUGAAAGCUCCGGCGGUUAUAGAUGGGUAUGCGUCUGAUUAGCUAGUUGGUGAGGUAAUGGCUCACCAAGGCGACGAUCAGUAGGGGAUCUGAGAGGACUAACCCCCCACACUGGUACUGAGACACGGACCAGACUCCUACGGGAGGCAGCAGUGGGGAAUUUUGGACAAUGGGCGAAAGCCUGAUCCAGCCAUUCCGCGUGAGUGAAGAAGGCCUUCGGGUUGUAAAGCUCUUUCAGCCGGAAAGAAAUUGCUUCCAUUAAUACUGGGAGGUAGAUGACGGUACCGGAAGAAGAAGCACCGGCUAACUACGUGCCAGCAGCCGCGGUAAUACGUAGGGUGCAAGCGUUAAUCGGAAUUACUGGGCGUAAAGCGUGCGCAGGCGGUUUUGUAAGUCAGAUGUGAAAUCCCCGAGCUCAACUUGGGAACUGCGUUUGAAACUACAAGACUAGAAUAUGUCCAGAGGGGGGUAGAAUUCCACCGUGUAGCAGUGAAAUGCGUAAGAGAUGUGGAGGAAAUACCAAUGGCGAAGGCCAGCCCCCUGGGGAUAAUAUUGACGCUCAUGCACGAAAGCGUGGGGAGCAAACAGGAUUAGAUACCCUUGGUAGUCCACGCCCUAAACGAUGUCUACUAGUUGUUGGUGGAGUAAAAUCCAUGAGUAACGCAGCUAACGCGUGAAGUAGACCGCCUGGGGAGUACGGUCGCAAGAUUAAAACUCAAAUGAAUUG
rnacentral:rRNA from 1 species